CGGAGGGUGCGAGCGUUAUCCGGGAUUACUGGGUUUAAAGGGUGCGUAGGCGGCCAUGUAAGUCAGGAGUGAAAGUUUGCGGCUCAACCGUAAAAUUGCUUUUGAUACUGCAUGGCUGGAAUCAGGAUGAGGUCAGCGGAAUGUGGCAUGUAGCGGUGAAAUGCAUAGAUAUGCCAUAGAACACCAAUUGCGAAGGCAGCUGGCUAGACCUGUAUUGACGCUGAGGCACGAAAGCGUGGGGAGCGAACAGGAUUAGAUACCCUGGUAGUCCACGCCCUAAACGAUGCUUACUCGACGUAUGAAGCUAGUCUUUGUGCGUCCAAGGGAAACCGUUAAGUAAGCCACCUGGGGAGUACGACCGCAAGGUUG
rnacentral:rRNA from 1 species